rnacentral:rRNA from 1 species
AUUGAACGCUGGCGGCAUGCUUUACACAUGCAAGUCGAACGGUAACAGGCCUUCGGGUGCUGACGAGUGGCGAACGGGUGAGUAAUGCAUCGGAACGUACCCAGAGGUGGGGGAUAACGCAGCGAAAGCUGUGCUAAUACCGCAUGUGAUCUGAGGAUGAAAGCGGGGGACCGAGCAGCAAUGUUUGGCCUCGCGCCUUUGGAGCGGCCGAUGUCGGAUUAGCUAGUUGGUGGGGUAAAGGCCUACCAAGGCGACGAUCCGUAGCUGGUCUGAGAGGACGAUAAGCCACACUGGGACUGAGACACGGCCCAGACUCCUACGGGAGGGAGCAGUGGGGAAUUUUGGACAAUGGGCGCAAGCCUGAUCCAGCAAUGCCGCGUGCGGGAAGAAGGCCUUCGGGUUGUAAACCGCUUUUGGCAGGAACGAAACGGUGUCCGCUAAUACCGGGCGCUAAUGACGGUACCUGCAGAAUAAGCACCGGCUAACUACGUG